AUAUAUAACAGGAAAAAAGAACAUUUAACAAUCCUGCUGAGUAGCUCCAUGUGAAAAAUGUGCUCUAUGUGCCUGUUGUAAUAGAUGGCGAGACGAGAAGAACAGUCAACAUCCUGGGCUGUCUCUAAAACCUAUCGUGGGACGAUCUUCCGCAGUAAUCCAACAUACCACCCUGCCUAAAAAUGUCCCCAAGCAGACAGGAAGGAAGUCAUUUUUGAGUGGCAACACACACAGGAAAUCCACUUGAUAAAAGACGGCCACAAAACAGAAAAGCUGGCAGAUUUUUUGCGACAGAAGUACGUCACAGCCACCAUCACACUAGCCUGCCAGACCUCCGGAGUGAAAUUAUCAAGUAACUGUUGAUGCAUGACUUGGUUUCACAUUCCUGGAUUUGACAGGCCAGAAUGUCCACACACUUCCUCUGAAGACGUACCUGCUCUACUAUCUUAAGAGAUUGUGUGAAUUCAUGUGACCCCCAACUAGACACCUGAGCAGCCAGUUCUACCCACAG